rnacentral:lncRNA from 1 species
CGGCCGCCAGCCGGUUGGGUGAUUAACUCACCGUUUGUCUUUCGGAAAGUGUGCCAGGUGGAUUGAGGCAGCCUGGCCGCUCCGGCUCUCUGCUGACUGCGCCGGGCUGCAGGCCGGAGAGCGCGGAACGAGCGCGCGCGUCACAUGGUGGCGCGGCCCGGAGCCGGCCUUUGUGCCGCGCGACCGCCCGGCCGCCCCGGGGAGGCGGCGGCUAUUGUUCCCCGCGGGGGAGGGAGGUGCUCAGACUCGGGGUCCACGCCAGCCUCCUCCCCAGAGUGUCCCCACAUCUGAGGACGGGUGGGGGCUUCCUUUGUGUGUUUUGGGCCUGCGACGGGAAUGGCGCGCCGUUGCCGCCCCAAGGGGCCGCAGAAGGGGCCGAGAGGUUGGUGCCAGCGCUGUCGCUACUUCGAGCUCGGCCCAACCGACCGACCCAGUUUCCCGCUCUGCCCUUGCGGAAGAGACGGGGAGGGAUGUGGUAUUUGUAGGGCAUGCGCUUGGAACAAUAGAGCCAUCAAAAGGCCUUCUCCCUGGUCUCCUCCCAAGGCAGCUAGGCUCUUCUCCCCUCUUUCGGAAAGGCCGUGGCCCAACAGGUCCUCUUGGCCUGAUUUUAGGCCUGCUUUCCCAGUAAAAACACUUCAUCUGUUCUCCACAAAUCCUAAUUUAAAGUCUCCUCCUUGGACUCUUACUGAUGUAAACAUCCCAUUUUCAUUAUUUUCCAGAUAUUAUUCUUCCAUAAAUUGAUCCAGACUACCAUAGGAACCAGUCAAGAUAUUUUGCCACAGGAUCUAGGACAAGAGGAUUUACCUACUAUUGCCCACCUUGCAAAUCUCCUAGGGACCUUUCACCUGCUUCUGCUACUGCAAAUGAUUGGACAUCCAUUUACAUUUCCUCUUCUUCAUGUGUGGAAGGAAACUUUUGUUCACUGUGCUUCAGGCUGCCCCUGGCCUGAAAGUGGGUCCUUGAAUUCCCCUUGUACCAUUCCAACUUGCCAAGGUGGUUAUGAGACCUGAGGGAGGUGUUUAGGCGUGGACUUUGGGCCAGGUGUGUAAAUCCAUUUGGUACCAACUUUGGGCCCCAAGGAUAAGGGCAUGUGUAGCUGCACCAGAAGAGAGGGGAACAGUGAAAACUAAAAUUUCACCCUCUGUGAUGAUCUUCACCACCACCAGUACCAACAAUGUUGUAAGUACAGAGGAUUCACCUACCCAGUCGUUUUUCCUCUCCAUCCGGGCCCUCUGCAAGAGUGAGCCAGUGCUCAGAGAUGGUGGAGGGUAUGGCUGGUGACUCAGUCUCAACUGUGUCUCAACUGUGUCCAAAGUGUCUAGGGAGAAGUCUGCUCACCGGUAGCUAUAUCCUCUCUGGGAAGGCACAGUGCCCUAAAGUGGUGAGGCUGUAGGCCUGUGGGAACUGGGGCCUCCUGCCCCUCUUUUUAUUUUUAUUUAAUACUCACAAACUUCUCUUCAUUCCCCCCCUUUUUUUCCCUUACAGUUUCUGAAAGAAGGACGGAAGUAACACCAAGAACUCCCAGAUGAAGAGGACCUUCCUGGAUCUGUAACUGGGAUUAACCAGUUCUUUACUGGGAGAGAAAGUUUCAACUAAUCCUCAGGAUAAAAGCAAACAGGCCUGUGACUGUCCCUUGAACACUGACAGUGUAAACAAGCUUCUGGCUCCUCCAGGUCAAGCAGAGCAACACUUUUCAUUAGAAUGUUGGGUUUCUUCUUUGUUAUUCAAACAUACACCCACACACAUCCCCUUGUCCCUCCCUAAUGAACAAACCUCAACAGAUGGAGAGCCUAGGCUCCCAAGACUUAUGACUGAGAAGAUGCACUUCACUCAAGGUGGGUUGGCUUGUACAGAAUGGGGGAGAGAGAAGAAAUGGGAAGCUAGUAUAGGUAAUUACUCCUCUUUUAAUACUCCUUACAGAUAGAAAUCCAAAAAAUCCUGUUCCGCAAGGUUAGCAGCCUCUGGGGCCUGGGAAACCGAUUUGGCUGAUGUGUCUGUGAUAGGGACUAGGCUUGGGGCUGCACCAGGGGGAAAGUACUCACUCUAUAUUCUAUCAUUCUCUCUCAUUUGAAAGCCUGUACAAAGAAAUGGUACAAAUGGAUGGUUAACUUAAUGAUUGCAUCAGAGGCGGAUUUUUCUCUGUCAGGACCCAGGAUGAGGCUGAGGUCUGAAAGCCAGGAGGCAGAACAUUUACUUAAUCGCCCUUUCUUACCGCCUUUCCAGGGGCCAGGACUGCUCUUCAGACCUUUCCUCUGACACGUCCCCGUACCCCUGGCUAGCUCAGUUGGGUCUUCUUACCCCACUCCUGGCUGGGCCUGAGUUUCUCCUGGUAGCCACGGCAAGGUCUCCUUAUAGCUAAAUCUUUUCCCACUCCCACCUCCCAUUCUACUGCGGGCCAUUUUUGCAGCCUCCUCUCUACCCAAAUUUAAUUAACAUUUGAUUGCCUGCACAGAACAACCAGGGGCUCCCAAACCGCUGCCACCCCCAUCCAUGGACCCUUUCUUCAGGCCUCAGGAUGAUCCCCCACAACCUCGCUGAUCCCUCCCCUCCCCCAGCGCUCCCCGCCGCCUCUAUAGGAAAAAAAAAAAAAAAAAGCCGAGCUGGUCAAGGCCUGAGCCAGAGAGCCACGUCCCCCUCUGGAGCAGCAAAGGGGGUAAACCUCCCAGAGACCGAUGCCCAAAGCGAGGCCCGGCCCUUCCCCACCUCCAGGCGUAGGCCCAACAGUGCCAUUGUGAGGCCUUUCCCGACGCGGAGCCCUUGGGGAAGCUGCGCACACAAAGGCGCAGCCGCUCCUGGAAGCCCGGCUUGCUCGGCGCCCUCAACCUAGCGCCGGACAGUCGAGGCCUUGUGCGCUCCCCCAUUGUACCCCACGCGGCCGUCUCGGGCGAAAGUCACGGGCUGGGGUGGAGGUUUCCGUCUCCUGCCAGCUUGCCCCUUCCCGCUCCAGGUCACACACUCCCCCCCACUUCCCCGGGAAGGAGAGGCCUGGGCCCAGAGCGCCAUUGCCCAGCCGGUGCUCCCCUCCCCCACGCUCUUCUUUCUGCUUUCCCGAGGCCCGGGAGGGAGGAGGCGGGCGCCUCCGCCGAUAGAGCAGCUAUUGUGACCUUCCCUCGCCGAGCGGGAACCCAACCGAGUGUACCGCUGGCGGGGGAGGAGGCGACUGUAUGCGCAGACCUCGGGGUGCAGAGGGGGGUGGUACUGGGAAAUAAAUAAAGGUUUGCAACCUUGGGCAGUUGGGCCUUCAGAGGGCGUUUGGUUGUGUUUAGACUCCGGUGCUUCCUAACACUAAUUGCGGGCUCAAAAGGAGCAGAAUUUAUGGCGAAGGCCAAGGCGGCUUGUUUAUAAUUUAUGAAGUUUUAAAUGGCUGUGCUACAGGCCCUCCUCUCGCCCUGGCCGGCGGCCGCGCGGGAAGCGCCUCCCCAGACUCGCCACCGCGCCCUCCUCCCCGCGCCAGGAGCGGCGGAGUGUGCCCAUCACAUGACACGCCGAGGGCAGGAAAGAAUCCAAGCCAUUCUAGGAAGCCCCGAGGAAACCUGUCACCAAAGGUGAGAGAAAGUCAAUUUGUCCCAAGCGAACUCCUCCACCCCGUUAGAGAGGGGUGCCUCCGGGUAACUGCCCGGAGAGGGAGCCCCCGACCCCGCACCUCUCUGGAGCAUCAGUGUGAGAGGAAGCUGAUGUCAGCCGGCCUAGACACCGUUUAAAGUCUAAUCCAUGAGACCUAAGCCGCAGAUGACACUUGGGGCCUUGCAGACACCCGCAGACUCAGCAGAUACUCCUGCGGUAACACACCGCGCUGGAAAACGCCUGGAGCCAUAAUGCAUUAUGUAUUUUUAUUAUUAUUUAUGGUAGGAAGAGGAGAUGAGGGAAAACCGGGCUGAAUCUAAACAGCCCGAUAAUUCAUCUAUUUAAUAUUUAGCCAGUUAAGAAAGGUUGUUGUAAUCCCUGCAAGGCAGCAAGCUCUUCUUUGACUUCCCUAAUAGCUUAAAAAAUAAUUUCUUACAAGACAAUUAGAAAUUCUGCCUAUGGAUGCAAGUUUCAUAGAAAACAAUUUUAAACCUUGCAAAUGGGUAAAAUAUCCCUUCAGUUGAAGUCAUUUAUUCUGUUGAUACACUUGUACAACAUGUAUACUCUAAACCUGCUCAGAUAAAGUGAAAUUUUGCAAAAGGAUAAUCCCUACCACCCCCGAUCUAACAUGCCAUUUUAAAAACAAAGGAACAAGGGAACUAGAUAUUAUUUGAGCUAUCAUUAUUUAGCGAAACACAAACAUCCAAAUAGAAACGAUUGUUGUUCCACCAGAAGAUUAGAAGUUAAAUUAUUUCCACACAAUGGGAAUUUCACCUCGUGUCACGGGGGGGAUGUAGUAGGAGCUGUAUUAUUUGUCAAACCGAAUAGAGAUGCGUGGGCUGACUUUGCUGAAAUACAAAAGACUUGAACCUUAUCUGAAGGCGCUUUCCAAGUGUCUCCUCCUAGAGAAGCGGGUGGACAUUGUCCACCCCUAGCCGAAGCCAGGCUAAUAUUUACAAAGUGGAUAUAAAUCCUUGGAGACAUUUUUGCCCGUGUUGUACAAAGAAACCGGAAUAAACAAGGUGUUUAUACUUGUUGUGUUCCAUUAAUUAAACUUUUAUUACUUUACAUCGUGGGGAACGUUUGUUUACUUGAGAAAUGAACCACCAACCAUCAUAAAGGAAAAAGUCCUGACAGCAUUUCCUAGAGAAAAAGCUUAGGUGCGUGUCUCCAAAUGAUCGUUUCUUUUUGUGCACCUUAGCUUUUUCAGAGCUCAGUUCUUCUUACAACUUCUCUUGUGUCUUUUCUUUGAUUGUCAGUUUUCUUUCAAAGUUUAUUUUUUAUUAGCGCAGAAACGUGAGAGCUGGCCUCCCCAGUGUAAAUGCAACCUUAAAAAGUCGAUUUAUGUCUAAAAAGAAGGUGGUGGAAAUAGCAUAGCAGGCACAGCACAAAGCCCUACCCAGAUUAUCCCCCGCCCCGUCCCGUCCCCGGGGCAUUUCUGGGUUUGCAUCCUCAGAUUUCCACCCCCCACCAAUGUCAAUAGCUGCAAUGUAAUCAAGUAUCCCCAGAACCAAUUCGUAUACCAGAUUCCAAAUAAAUGAAAAAUAGAUAUAUCAAA